CUAUUCUUUAUGCUGCCUUAAAUACAUAAAUAUAUGUUAAUGAAGUUUAAUAUUUCGGCUUAGAAAACAAUCCUGUCCAUAUCUACAUUGAAAAAAGUUCUGAGAUGAAAUAUGUGAUGAAGUUAACAGGAAAAAUGUGUUGAAGAGUGUCCAAGGAGUUGGUUUGAUAGCUCAGCAUGGAUCUUUUUUGGCUUGAAGAAGGAAAAUAGCUACUAAAUUGAGAAUUAAGUACAAAACUUGGGUAAAGCAGAAGUGAUUCUGAUGGGAGCUCUGCAUUGGCUGUGGCUGAUGUCCUAGGAAGCAGAUGAAAAGUGCUGAACACCUUUAAUGCCAAUAUAAGUCUUUGGAUUGAUAUUAUUUGGAUUCAUAUUCUUAUUAACACCACUAUUUCUCAUUCUAUUUCUGUUUUACACAGAGGCCUGAAGAUCUGCAUGAACUUGAAGAUCACCUCUUUCAUUUUAUGGGAUUAGAUCUAGGUUAUGUGUGGCAAUCCUGUAAAUACUGGGGAAAUGCAAGACUCAACGUUGUGGUACAGCCUUAGUUGGUUUCUCUCAAGCCAAUUGAUAAUUAUUACACCAGCUGAACCACAGUGCAGUAACUCUUUUGUAAUGGAAUCACAGUAAGCUGGUUUCCCAUUUCAAUUAAUAACUUGUGAAAAUAAAGUAAGUGCUUUUUGCUGAUUAGGCAUAUGUGGCUGCUUGGAAAAAAUGUGUGUGCAGUACAUGGCAAUUCAGCUUCCCUUUCUGUGCUGCAUAUUCAAAAGCACAAUAAAAUACUAGUUGAAAGAAGAAUAAGAUAAGAAUUGGAAUGUUGCUGACUAUGGAGAAGGCAUUGUGUUGAGAUGGCAGACACUGCUGUCACUGCUCAUUCUGACCAACCCACCUGGAGUAGAUGUCCCUCUGUUGUGUCCCCAUCCAAAUCUCUUGGCAGUAUCACUUUCAGAUCUCAUCCUUCCCUCUCUUCAGACCUUUAAGUUUAUGCAGGCAAAUAAACUGAGAGCCUCAGUCUUCCCUUUGUGCAUUUGGUUCUUGAAAGAGAUGGAUUGUCCAUGAAAGGCUGGCAUGUAAGAGGCUCCUGUUGAAGUGACAUGAAAGUGUUGCAAGAUACUUGGAAUGACUUAAACAUACUGCACUGAGUGUUCUCUCAGCAGCUGCUGCAAUGCACUGUUUCUCAGAGGCUUUAGGUAAAAAGUGAAGAGAUCUUUGGUGCACAGGUACCUCUAGCAGUGCCCCUGUGAUGAAUUACUAUUUACUGGAUCUGCUAAAGCCACCCCUUUGGGGUCACAAUUAAAUGAGGCUCUCAUCCCUUCUAAAAGGUAAAAAGGUGUAUGUUUUUACAUCUCAAAUUUUUAAACUCUGCAUCUACGGAGCAAAAAACUGGUAGAACCUAAGGUCCCAGAAGUCCCAGGAUAAAUAAAAAGGAUGCAAUAUUAAUUUGUUUUUUCUUAGAAAGUGCUAGAUAAUAGACUAAGAAAAAGGUUCUUAUCUCUGUUUAAGGGUUCAUAUUUUACCCUUUCUGAGGGGUGUCAGUCCUCUAUCAUGUUUGCAUAUUCCUAGAGUGAAAAUUACUUUUUUUUUAAAUUACUUUAUUUAGGGGCUGACUAUGAAUGUUGGACUAGACUUGGAAGACCACAUUCCUUCUUCCUUUGCUGGCCCUUGACAAAAAAAUCACCACUUCUAUCUGCAUCAUUUAUUCAUAUGUGAAAUUGGAAUGGUCACACACUCUUUGCUACUAAAUUAUCUCUGGGAAAGCUGGGUAUGUUUAGAAUAAUUCACAGCUGAUGUUUACCCAUUUACAAUUGUAAAAUACAUGCUACAUCCAUUCCCUUUUUAAGCCCUAAAUAUAACCUUGUGUUAGUUUCAAAAUGACUGCUGGAAAAUCUGAUUACUUUUUUCUGUAUUGCCAUGAUUAUUUUAGAAACAAAUCUUUACCAAGUAUGUUCUUUAACAUUGUUUGAGGUCCUCUGGUGUUCAUUCAUGCAGAUAUGGAGCUACCCAGUCUUCCCAAAUACCGUGGGUACUAUGAAUAAUUCCAGCUCACUUUAUGGACAGGGACUGAAGUCAGGAAACUUCAAAGAGUUGUGAACUGUCCAGUAAUGUGCAAGGGUUCUGCUAUAACCUCUGUGUUAUCUGUGUUUCAGUCUUCCACAAAUGUAGUAAUUGUUGUUUCAUCCUAGUAUUUAUAACGAUUUUGCUGCUGCCAUUAUGGAGAUUUAAAGCAUGGAGAGGUGGAAUGGUGAAGAUUUGGGCAAUUUUGGCAGUUUUCUGUAUAUAAAGUGGUUGCAGUCAAUGAGGCUGUGGUGAAUCCACAGGGAUAUUAGAAAAAAAAGGAAACCUGUUCGUUUUAAAUUGUGAAGAGUUAAUAACUUGGUUCAACUUGCUUGGUUGAAAGCAUGGAAGAUGUAUUUGUGUUAGUCACUUGUCUUUUUUAUUUUAUGAACCAGUUCUGAACAGCACUGUAUAAAAUUAUUCUGUAAUUAACUUUUUGGAAUUGAAAUAGAAUGAAUCAUUAGAAGGAAACAGCUAAGCAGUGAAGAUUUGAACUGAGCAAACACCUUGAACUCAUGUUGGAAACCAAUUGUGAAGGGGAGUACAAAUGCAGCCUGGAUUUGAUUCAGAUAACACCAGCCCAGAGUGACUUUAUCCAGGAGGAAGGUGAGAUCUACAGCAUCGGCUAUCCUUGAAGAGAGCAAUGCAACAGUGGCAAUGUAACACCUUUCUCAAAGAAGAAACCUGUUCCUUUUCUUUGUCUGAGCACCGGUGCGAUCUAUAAAAACGCUCUAAACUCCUACUCUGACUUCAGUCACAGUUUAUGACUACAUCGAAGUUUAUCUCCUCUUUGGCAGAACUUAAGGAAGGUGAAGUCUGCGCUCCCUCUUGUGGUACAUGUAGAAAUAUGAAGAAACUUCGGGGAAAAACUGCCUGUAACAGUGAGGGAAGCUGAAUGUGUUUUACUUAGCAUCUUGUGACAGAAUAAACUGAGAUUUCUGAUGUUA